AACUCUAACCUUUUCUGUCACUCGCACGAAAAGGGCAACUUUCUCCCAGACGCCUGGCGAAGCCACCGCUACCUCACCGUCGCCGCCUCUCCGUCACUGCCUCGCCGUCUCCGCCUCGCUCAGGAGCAUCAAGGCCGACGAGGACUCGAAUACCGUAUAGAUCAACGUGGGAUUCCUCACCGAGACCUUUCCGUGGAAGCAUUUCAAGGAUGCCCCCGAUUGCCAGAAGAAGCUGUUGCAGAAGGCCUCUUCCUUGAGCACUCUGACUUAGCCAAUGUUGUCGCCCAUGUGUGUUUCUGUUAACCCUAGAUGGAAAGGGAAUAAAAUGACCCUAGGGGAGACAAGGAAGGUGCUUUGUUGUUCACGUCACUGACUUGUUGAAGCGAGAAGUGACAGCUAGAGAUGAAAAUUAGGACAUGUCUUCAUCCCAAGGAGUUAUAAUGCAAAUGAUGGGGGUCGCGUGGAGUCGAUGGAGGACCGAAGUGAAAACUACAUCGAAUAAAAGUUACAUCAAAUAUUUCAUUAGAAGGGCUUGUUGCAAUAUGACUCAUUCCUCAUGAGCUGUUGUCUUAAACAUGGGAAGUUUUAUUUAACUAUUGGAAGUCAUUAAUUGUUUUUGACAUAUGUUUAUAGAUAUUUAAAAUUAUUUGUA